rnacentral:rRNA from 1 species
UACGGAGGAUGCGAGCGUUAUCCGGAUUUAUUGGGUUUAAAGGGUGCGUAGGCGGGAUGCCAAGUCAGCGGUAAAAAUGCGGUGCUCAACGCCGUCGAGCCGUUGAAACUGGCGUUCUUGAGUGGGCUAGAAGUAUGCGGAAUGCGUGGUGUAGCGGUGAAAUGCAUAGAUAUCACGCAGAACUCCGAUUGCGAAGGCAGCAUACCGGCGCCCUACUGACGCUGAGGCACGAAAGCGUGGGUAUCGAACAGG